rnacentral:lncRNA from 1 species
AUAAUAAUAUCAAGAAAAUACUAUAAACAUAUUCCUUAUAACAUAUCCUUUGUCAUGACUUUUGUUGCUCCUGAGAUAAUUCUUGGUAACACCUAUCAACAAUAAAUUUCCAAGAUGGGUUGCCUUUUGUAUGGAUUGAAAUAUAUCAACUCUAUAAAAGUCGUUGCUCCCAAGAAGCAGUUGGAAAAGAAGCAGCCUAAAUCUUUUACCUUUUCAAAAGACUUAUUGGUCCCUUCACAAUGGCAAUAAAAUCAUCUGCAAUGUCAGUGUCAUUGUUGUGCUUAGUCUUAUUAGCAGUAGGAAAUGGUUGUUAUGGUGGAGAAAUAGCAAUCUACUGGGGCCAGAAUGGUAAAGAGGAGACGCUAGGCGAGGCAUGUGCGACAGGGAACUAUGAUUAUUUGAUCUUAGCCUUUUUGCCAACCUUUGGCAAUGGACAAACUCCUAUGAUUAAUCUUGCUGGUCACUGUGAUCCGUACAGUGAUGGGUGCACGGGGUUAAGUUCAGACAUAAAAGCUUGUCAAGCCAAAGGCAUCAAGGUGUUGUUGUCUUUAGGAGGAGGUGCUGGAAGCCAUUAAAUUGCAUCCACUGAAGAUGCAAGCCACAUAGCCAGUUACCUUUGGAACAACUUCUUGGGGGGACAGUCCUCAUCUCGGCCUCUUGGCCCUGCUGUUCUUGAUGGCAUUGACUUUGACAUUGAAGGUUGAUCAAACCAACAUUGGGGUGAUCUUGCCAGAUUCCUUAAAGGCUACGCCAUGACCAAGCAAGGCAAGCAAAUCUACAUCACUGCAGCUCCUCAGUGCCCUUUUCCUGAUGCUUGGAUAGGAAAUGCUCUCACUACAGGGCUUUUUAACUAUGUGUGGGUCCAAUUCUACAACAACCCUCCUUGCCAAUACACUUUUGGGGCAAUCACUAACCUUGAAGAUGCAUGGAAGCAGUGGAUUUCAGGUAUUCCUGCCAACAAGAUAUUCUUGGGGUUGCCAGCUUCCCCACAGGCUACAGGGAGUGGCUUCAUUCCUUCUGCUGAUCUUUUUUCUAAUGUGCUUCCGGCCAUUAAGGGUUCUGCUAAAUAUGGAGGUGUUAUGUUGUGGUCUAGGUAUUAUGAUGCUCAAAGUGGAUACAGCUCAUCCAUCAGGAGCCAUGUGUGAUAUCUAAACUCCUCAUCCUUAGAACUAUGUAAUGUUAUCUUUGUAUUUUUGUGUUUUCAAAUAUUUAUGCCAUGAUAUGAAACAUGUUUGGUUGGUUCAAAUGAUUAGAGUUAAAUGUUAUGAACCAGAAGAAAGUAACUUUCAAGAAAAUAGAUUAGAUAUUAAUAAUUAGACAUGUCCAUUUGGUCAAGUGCAUAGUGUUUGGUCUUGACCCAUACAGGUCAAGGCAAAAAUACUUAAGAGAGUGGAAAGUGUGCACUAGGAGGAAGAAACAUUAAUUGUCUAACGGUUUAGCAGUUAGACCUAACAGGGGUGUGAUUUUGCAUAUAAGGCAGUUUUGGGGGAUAGGGAGAGGUUGUUGUGUAUAUUCUUUGUUGAUAGUAGCAGGACACAUUGUCCUGGGAGGGGGAUUAGGCUCCCUGGUGUUUCUGUUUGUACAUGACAAUUGACAUAAUACGAUUCAUAUCAUUCUUUCACUAUACACUUACUGUUGAACUGUGCAUGUGAGUGUAUUGAGAGUGGGUUUCUCUUUCAAGAAACCUAUCAAUUGGUCCGAUAUACCAAAUCCCAAUUGAACGAGAAUAGCAGAAAUGGAGGGGCGAGGAACAUAAUGGAGGGGCGAUUGGAACACAUCGAGAUGGCAGUGGACGGGUUAAAGGCGAAAUCGGUGACUAAUAGGCAAGAUUCCCUAGCAAUGCCUCGGGAAUCAAAGAAUUGAUGAGGAUGAUGGUCGCUCAAAAUAAACAUUUCGAGGGGAACUCUGACGGGAGUCAGGGGUCCGUUAAUGGCACUCAGAAGGAUCGAUGCGACGACCUGGACGCAGAGAAAGAUGGGGAACGUCUAGAGGGUCAACCCAAUUGGCAACCAACCCUUAGGAUACUUUCUGGUGGGCCUAAGAGAAGAGAUACGGUGUCUAAUUAGACCCCACGACCCUCAAGAUUUGAUGACGGCAUUGAGGCUUUCACGGGAUGUCGAACACGUAAGACGCGGAUUAGGCCUGAGUGAGUGGACGACAACCAAGAACACGCAAUCUUGGGGAUGAACGACGGAGAGCGAGGGCUCAGUGAGGAAGGAUGGUGUGGCGGGAAGUAGCACGACGAGGGGCGGAAAUCCUGUAGGCAGUGAAAGCAAGGGAAGAAAUUCAAGAAAUCUUCCCUACCCAAAAUUCUUGAAGCGUAGAGAGGAGGGGAGGUGCUUCUGCUGUGGUGGACCUUUCAACCUCAGGCACCAUUGCCGUGAGAAGAGUUUGGGCGUAGUGUUAUUGGCUGAGGACAAAGAGGAGGACCAAGACGCGAAAAAGGAAGACGUGGAGCAAAAACCGAUGGAGUUAUCUGUAUUCUCGGCCAGUGGCCUUACCCAGCCUAAGACGAUGAAGUUGCAAUGAAAGGUGGGGAAGAAGGCGGUGUUGAUUCUCAAAGAUAGUGGUGCAAGCCACAAUUUUAUCAGCAGAGGCUUAGCAAAAGAGUUGGAGUUAGCUCAGGAGGACACCCCCCAGUAUCAAGUCAGUUUGGGGGAUGGACAGAAAAGGAAAACCAGAGGGUGUUGUCCGAAGGUGAUAAUUCAAAUGAGGGGAACAAAGAUAGUAGAGAAGUUCUAUUUGUUUGAGUUGGGGGGCGUGGAGAUGAUCUUGGGAGUCGAGUGGUUGGCGAAGUGGGAGAAAUCACCUUAAACUGGGGCGAGUUGACUAUGUCCUUCAAACAGGGGGAAGAAACCAUGGUAAUUAGGGGGGACCCUGCUUUGGAAAAGAGGGUGGUUGAACCUGAGACCCUCCUAAAGAUGAGUGAGGUGGAAACCUGGGCUCUAGUUUGGAGCUUAGAGAGUAUAAAACCAAGGCGAGAUGAUACAGGAGCAGUGGGCUUAACCAGGGAACAGAAGGAGGAGUUGGAACAAGUCUUAGAAGAUCAUAAGGAGGUAUUUUGUGAGUUGCAAGGGUUGCCACCGGAUAGAGACAAGAAGCGUCAGAUUGUCUUGAAGGAGGGAACUGACCCGGUGAAUGUGAGGCCAUAUUGUUAUCCCCAUUUGAUGAAAGGUGAAAUUGAAUGACAGGUAGAGGAAAUACUGAAAGCUGGAAUCAUUAGGUCAAGCACUAACCCCUACUCGAGCCUUGUGAUAUUAGCAAAGAAGAAAAAUAGGAGUUGGAGAUUUUGCGUAGAUUAUCGAGCUUUGAAUAGAGCAACGAUUCCUAAUAAGUUCCCUAUUCCGGUCAUAGAAGAACUCUUUGAUGAACUAAGAGAUGUAAGAUAUUUCUCGAAAGUAGAUUUAAAAGCUGGAUACCAUCAAAUCUGGAUGGGAGAAGAGGACAUCCACAAGACAACAUUCCACACUCAUCAGGGUCACUACGAAUUUUUAGUAAUGCCUUUAGUCCUCACUAAUUCCCCAACAACCUUUCAGAGUGUCAUGAACCGACUGCUGCAACCAUUUAUGAGGAGAUAUGUGCUGGUUUUCUUCGACGACAUCCUCAUCUAUAACCAAAGUUGGGAAGAACAUUUACAGCAUGUGGGACAUAUUCUGGGGUGCUUAGGCAGAAUAGGUGGGUGGCCAACAAGAAGAAAUGUGAGUUUGGCCAAGUGGAGAUUAGAUAUCUGUGUCAUUUGAUAUCGGCGAGGGGACUGGAGAUGGACCCAGAGAAGGUGCGAGAUGUGAUUGAUUGGGAAAAACCGAAAACGUUGAAGGCGCUGAGAGGAUUUUUAGGUCUCACGGGAUAUUAUAGGCGCUUUAUGAGAGAUUAUGGGAAAGUGGCAAAGCCGUUGACGGAGCUAUUGAAAAAAGGGCAAUUCAAGUGGUCCAGCAAGGCAUAGGAGGGCAUGGAUAAAUUGUAGAUUUUGAUAACCACUGCUCUAGUGCUGGCAUUGCUAGAUUUUGAACAAACCUUCCAUGUAGAGUGUGAUGCGUCAGGGGGAGAAGUUGGGGCGGUUUUGAUGCAGGGAAGGAAGCCUGUAGCGUUCUUUAGUCGAGCUUUGUCUGAGGGGUCUCUCAAUAAAUCUAUAUAUGAAAAGGAACUCAUGGCAUUGGUGAUGGCAAUACAGCAUUGGAGACCAUACUUGCUAGGGCAGAAGUUCGUCGUUCAUACAGACCAACGCAGCCUCAAAUACUUACUCGAGCAACGCAUAACAACCCAGAAUCAGCAAAACUGGCUUGCUAAAAUUGCUAGGAUAUGAUUUUGAGAUCCAGUAUAAGUAGGGGGUGACAAAUCGUGUUACUGACGUGUUGUCGAGAAAAGGGGAGGAUAAGGAGGAAGAUUCGAGAGGAAAUUGAGAAAAAUCCAGAUACCCAUCCAACCUAUACAAUAGAGCAUGGUAGGCUACACCAUAAGGGGAGGCUAGUGUUGUCUGCCAAAUCAGCUUGGAUACUCAAGCUCUUGGUUGAGUUCCAUUCCACUAGCACGGGGGGCACCCAGGAGUAUAUCGGACUAACAGGAGAAUAACUCAAUCAUUGUUCUGGAAAGGGAUGAAGCAGAUGGUAACUGAUUUUGUGGCAAGGUGCUUGACAUGCCAGCAGCACAAAUACGUGACGUCAUCGCCUCAAGGGUUGUUGCAACCCUUACCCGUGCCUCAUGCGAUUUGGGAGGAGGUAAGUAUGGACUUCAUUAUGAAGCUACUGAAGUCCCAGUGGUAUGAUGUCGUAUUGGUGGUGGUAGAUCAACUUAGCAAGUAUGGAUACUUCGUGCCAUUGAAGCACCCAUAAUCUACACGCAAAGUUGCUGAAGUCUUUGUUUAGGAUAUGAUAAGGCUACAUGGGGUGCCACUGUCCAUCGUCAGUGACCGUGACCCCCUCUUUUUUAGUGUGUUUUGGAGAGAAAUCUUUAGAGUGCAAGGCACCCAAUUGAAGAUGAGUACUGCGUAUCAUCCGGAAACGGAUGGGCAGACAGAAGUGUUGAAUAGAAUACUCGAAGGGUACUUGCGUUGCUUUUUCUAUGAGCAACCCAAAAGCUGGAGUGUAGUGCUUCCUUGGGCGGAGUACUUGUAUAACACCAACUAUCAGAGUGCAGCAAGGUGUACGCCAUUUGAGACGGUGUAUGGGAGAGCUCCCCCAUCUUUAAACAGAUUCAUACCCAGAGAAAUGGCAGUAGAGGCGGUGGUGCAGGAGUUGAUGACGCAUGAUGAAGCUUUGAAACAAUUGAGGUUUCAUUUGAACUGAGCCCAGGAUAUGAUGGUGAAGUAUGCUAACAGAAAGAGGAGACCGGGAGAUAUUAAGGUGGACGAUUGGGUGUUUUUGAAGAUCAGACCUCACCGACAAACUUCCAUGGCAACUAGGUUACACCCCAAAUUGGCAACAAGGUUUUUCGGGCCCUUUAAGGUGCUACAACAGGUAAGAGAGGUUGCGUUUAAGAUCCAAUUACCGGAAUCGGCCAGGAUUAUCCGGUAUUUCAUGUGUCACAACUAAAAAAGGCCGUGGGUGCUCAGAAUGUCGAGAAGGAGAGGGACCAACUUUUUGGCCACUUCGAAUACUAGAUGAGAGGCAUAAACAACAAGGAGAAGAUCUAAUACAACAAGUCCUGAUGGAGUGGCAAGAGGGUGGAAGAGAUGGAGCGACUUGGGAAGAUGUAUCAAUGAUCCAAGACCAAUGUCUGGAAUUCAACCUUGGGGACAAGGUUGUACAUCCAGGGGAAGGUAUUGUUAGAGAGUGGAAAGUGUAUACUAGGAAGAAGAAACAUUAAUUGUCUAAAGGUUUAGCAGUUAGACCUAACGGGGGUGUGACUUUGUAUAUAAGGCAGUGUUGGGGGAUAUGGAGAGGUUAUUGAGUAUAUUCUUUGUUGAUAGUAGCAGGUGUGUCCUGGGAGGGGGAUUAGGCUCCCUGGUGUUUCUGUUUGUACAUGACAAUUGAGAUAAUACGAUUCAUAUCAUUCUUUCACUAUACACUUAUUGUUGAACUGUGCGUGUGACUGUGUUGAGAGUGGGUUUCUCUUUCAAGAAACCUAUCAAAUACCAAUAGGAUUAAAAAAACCUACAUAAAAAAAUAAGCCCAUAGGACCAAAAUAACAACAAAAAUCUUAUGGCUCAGUUAGACAGAGUUGAGUUGUUGACUAACAGACUUAAAUUUUAAAUUUGUUGUUGACCAAUAGAUUUAAAUUUUAAGCCUGUUAUUAUCCAAUAGACUUAAAUUUUAAAUUUGUUCAACACACUUAAAUUUUAAGUCUCUUAUUGUCCAGCAGACUUAGAUUUUUGUAUAUUUGUAAAUAACAAAAGAUAGAGAAUAAAACUGCAUGCAUCACACCAAAGAACAAAUCAUUCAACUCAACCAGAUCUAAUUACUACUAACGGCAACCCAAAGUUCCAGCAGCUCAUAACCAACUAUGCUAGUUACUACGUGAAAUACUAAACCUGCAGCAGUUCCAACCAACACUGAACCUGCACCAGCCAGCUAAACCAAAGAUAAUAUGGCAGCACCAAAACCUGUCCAGCAGCUGCUAAAUUUAUAGAACUCAAGAUUCCUUUCCAAAACAAAUCUACACAUCCAGAACCUACAUGAAGUACUUUAGUCUAGAAUAAAAUCAUGCCUCCAUUCAUCUUUGUGCACCAGUUUCACCAAGCUCUAAAGUGACAUUUUGCUGCACUAAAAAUGAAGAUGUGAAUCAACUGCACCAGCAGCAAGGUCUGACGCAGCUUCGUCAAACCAAAAUGAUUCCAGUGUGCAAAAUAGUCUUGAACAAAACGCUGUAUCAAGCAAACUGGUCCAGCACCAAUUCCAGCUCACCUUCCAGCAUCCAGAAAGCAGUUCCAUCAUCUUAAACUUGAUAUAACCCAUGCACAAAUACUGCACUAAGUCCAAAUAAUGACCAUCCAGUGCACUAAGCAUCGCAUAUGCGUCAACUGCACCUAUAUAAGCACGUUAACUCAAUCCAAGUGAUCAAUGCACUCCCCAGCAAAGUCCUUCAUCAAGCAACAAGCAUAACACCCCAAGAACAACACUAAAACCACCACAUAACCAGGAGAUUUUCUCCUUACACUAAAAUAAACUUUAGCGCUAGUUUUUCCUAAAAAAAACAGAAGUUUUACAUCAUAAGAACCAUGCAAUAUAAUGUCUUAACCCAUAAAAGUGAUCACAAGCUUAUAGCACUGAAAAAUUCCAACAAAAAUACCACUACUGCACAUUAGAAUCUCCUAAGCUCAUACAAUCAUGCUCUAAACUUUCAUAAAAAAAAAAACACUACACUAAUUCUAUUUAUAACACUAAUACAUAUAUCCACCAACCUAUUUCCACAAAAUACACAACACCAACCAUUAAUUCUAGGCCUCAAUUUAUAAACCAAAAGGAUGAAUCAAGCUGCAAACAACCUGCGUCAGUUUUCUUGAUCAAAGACUUAACAUCUAUACCAACCAAUAAUUACAUCAAGCUGAACCGAAACAACUAUGAGCACAAAAAAAUUUAUGGACUGCACCAGCAACAACGUUCAUAACUCACAACCUUAACAAUAUGCAUCCAGACCAUAAUUGCAUAAGAAAACAGCGUUUAUUAUUUAUUUUUGAAACAACACAACAACAUUUUCAAUUCCCGAAUGACACUAGUCACACAGCCACAUUUCUCUGCUCUGAUAAUAGAAUUUUAUACUCUAAAAGAUGAAGUACAUACCUGACCUUGUUGCUCUUUUAAUUGAAUUAAGCCCUACAAAACAGAAUUAUAUACCUACCCCAAAUAUUCAACGUAUGCUCACAAAAUAAUUACCAAUAAUAGCACAAAAACAAAAACCACGUUCAUCACCAAAAACAACCAUUCAUAUUCAGCAUACAAUAAUUUACAGAACCAAAAACCAAGGUUUAGCACCCAUUACAUCUUUUUCCAGCUCUUAAUGAUCUUAAUUUCGCAGCCACUUCCUUUGCUAGUUCUCACCUCAACAGAAGCACAAACAUUUUCUAAGGCCACAACACUCACGUUCUAUAUCUCUUCUAAUAUGCUGUUUUACAGGGUACACAAAAUAUAUGUGUAUCAAAUAAAAUUAUUGAAAUGAGAAGAGAACAAUUUUAAUUUACCUUAGGAGGAAGCCAGGCGUCUAUGUCAAAAUCAAAAACUCAUUCAAAGUUGACCUUAAUAUUUUGUAUGAGCUUCUUUCUGUCUGCACCAUAGCCUUUGGUGAGAUUUGGCCGCCACCGCCUUCUUGAACAUUCUCUACAGCUAUCGCAUUCACUCGCUUAGGUUCUCUACACCAAAUACAACCCACACCUGUGGGUUAAGGUUGGACACUGCUACCGCUGUCGAGACGCCACUAGAACGUUGUUGCUGACAUCAGAAUGUCGCCGGAAGAAUGUUGAAAUGUCAUUGCAACAGUGGACGCCGGAACGUUGCCGCUGUUUGGAACGAUGGAACAUUGCAUGCUGUCGGUGUACGCUGUCCUUGUUGGAACGUCGGACAACGAAUUCGCCGAGUUGGUUGUUAGAAUGAAAAGGCUGGGAUGUGAAAAGAGUUCAAGAGUUCCCAAGUGAAAACGGAAAUGUAUCAGACUUUUGGCUAAG